CGGCACCUCAAGUGGUCAGGAUGAUUAUUGGGCCUAAAGCAUCCGUAGCCGGCUCUGUAAGUUUUCGGUUAAAUCUGUACGCUCAACGUACAGGCUGCCGGGAAUACUGCAGCGCUAGGGAGUGGGAGAGGUAGACGGUACUCGGUAGGAAGGGGUAAAAUCCUUUGAUCUAUUGAUGACCACCUGUGGCGAAGGCGGUCUACCAGAACACGUCCGACGGUGAGGGAUGAAAGCUGGGGGAGCAAACCGGAUUAGAUACCCGAGUAGUCC
rnacentral:rRNA from 1 species